UACGGAGGGGACUAGCGUUAAUCGGAAUUACUGGGCGUAAAGCGUGCGCAGGCGGCUUUGCAAGACAGAUGUGAAAUCCCCGGGCUUAACCUGGGAACUGCAUUUGUGACUGCAUGGCUGGAGUGCGGCAGAGGGGGAUGGAAUUCCGCGUGUAGCAGUGAAAUGCGUAGAUAUGCGGAGGAACACCGAUGGCGAAGGCAAUCCCCUGGGCCUGCACUGACGCUCAUGCACGAAAGCGUGGGGAGCAAACAGG
rnacentral:rRNA from 1 species